UUGGAAGAAAUGGUGGUAACGCUCUGCCAAGAGCUGGGAACCCUGCCAAAACACUCCCCAGAACCGAGGAAUGGAAACUGAAACACACUCUUUCACUAAAAACAGGAGGGAGGUGACUUUUGGUUUUCCUAGUAACGGCAAGGAUAACCUCUAGCUGUCACGUUGCAGCAAGCUGUGUGUUUGGAGUGUGGAGGAACUGGACGGCAGGUCCCAACAUCAGGAGCAGAGCCACUCCCCUUUCCUGAGCUGAGCUUGGAGGGGAAACCCACGCUUUAAAAGUUUCAUUUCACUUAGAAGAGAGUCUCUCGCUGGACUCACACCCACCAGCCUAUUCUUUUCGGACAUCUCCAACCUGAAAGUGACCGUGUGCCUCAGGAUGGCAAACUCCAAAUCUUCUCAGACUACUCGUAACAUUGUGAUCGCCUGCCUGGCCCUGUGGUCGAUCAUCUCGAUUAUUAUUAUUGUGGUAUGGGCCACUUCGCCUGAUAUGAAAGAAGCCAGUCAGUGUCGCAAGGAGAUGCAAACUCUAACGGUGAAGCAUGACAAGGAAAAAGUCGUGUGGGUCAAAAACCAAAGAGCCCUCGAGGAGCUGGUGAGACAGGGAUGGAGGAACCAGACUACCCUACAGAAGCAAAUCGACCAGAACAAGGAGCAAAUACAGAAUCUGAAUUUGUCUUUGAAUGACAGGUUGCAAGAAAUUACCAUUCUGACUGGAAACAUCACAAUUUUGGAGAGCAAGAUUGAGGAAUACAAACUCAUCGAGGGAAACCUCACUACAGAAAUCAGCCUGCAGAAAGACCAGAUUGACGCCCUGGAGCACAAUUUGACCCUGAAGGCCCAGGAGUUGGCAUCUUGUGAGGCUUUACGCCUCGCUUCCAAACAGCUCCAAACUGCCGCAGAGAGACAGACACAGGCCUGCGAGACCACCAAGCAAUAUUUACAGAAGCAACUCGCAAAGUGCAAAAAUAUUGACCACCUUGAACAUGAAUAUGUUCAUGUUGAACUCAAUGAGAACGGAGUCCAAGGAAUCACCGCAAGUCGUGUUACACUGGCCAUAAUUGUUUGCAUCAGUCUGCUUUUGGUACCAUAGACGAGAGGAAGGCUGGAUUAUGGAUUAUUUGGGUACAUGUUUUGGUGCAACACUGUUCUGAGGACACUGCUCAGGUGCACUUGUAACCCUGGACUUGAAGCACAUUUUAUCUACAUUUGGAAUGCGAAGUGCCGAUGCAAAAUUGAUAAAAAAUUGAUGAUAAUAUGUAGUCAAUGAAGGUAUUUGUGUUGCAAAAAUGUUUGGUGGCAUGUAAAAAUUAUUGGUUGACCACAUGGACAAUUUAUUCACCUUAUUCAACAAAUGUAUGCUGUACUUCAUUGUUGGUAACUUUUUUCUUUAGUUAUUUUUUAUUACAAAAAAAUAUAUGGAUUUUACGGUCUAGAUGUUUCAGAACUGUAUUUAUUUUAGUUUGAAGUAACCAGGCUAAUAUGCCAAAGAGCUAUUUGGAAAUUUGAUCACACUGUUUUACCACUGUCUGUUUUUUUUUUUUUAAUGAAAAAUUCAUGACUUUUUGAAAGCUAUUUUUGAAUAAAAUUACAAUGUUGACUCUUUAA